rnacentral:rRNA from 1 species
GAUGAACGCUAGCGAUAGGCUUAACACAUGCAAGUCGAGGGGCAGCACAAGGUAGCUUGCUAUCUGGGUGGCGACCGGCGCACGGGUGCGUAACGCGUAUGCAACUUGCCCUAUACAGGAGGAUAACCCGUCGAAAGACGGACUAAUACUGCGUAUGCUCACAACUUGGCAUCAAGUGGUGAGGAAAGAAAUUCGGUAUAGGAUAGGCAUGCGUCCCAUUAGCUUGUUGGUGAGGUAACGGCUCACCAAGGCAGCGAUGGGUAGGGGAACUGAGAGGUUUAUCCCCCACACUGGUACUGAGACACGGACCAGACUCCUACGGGAGGCAGCAGUGAGGAAUAUUGGUCAAUGGGCGCGAGCCUGAACCAGCCAAGUCGCGUGAAGGAUGACCGUCUUAUGGAUUGUAAACUUCUUUUAUACGGGAAUAACAAGAGUCACGUGUGACUCCCUGCAUGUACCGUAUGAAUAAGCAUCGGCUAACUCCGUG